GAAUUUUGGACAAUGGGCGAAAGCCUGAUCCAGCAAUGCCGCGUGCAGGAUGAAGGCCUUCGGGUUGUACACUGCUUUUGUACGGAACGAAAAGCUUUGGGUUAAUACCCUGGAGUCCUGACGGUACCGUACGAAUCAGCCACGGCUCACUACCUUCCCGCCGCCGCGGUAAUACGUAGGGUGCACGCGUUAACCGGAAUUACUGGGCGUAAAGCGUGCGCAGGCGGUUUUGUAAGACAGAGGUGAAAUCCCCGGGCUCAACCUGGGAACUGCCUUUGUGACUGCAAGGCUAGAGUACGGCAGAGGGGGGUGGAAUUCCGCGUGUAGCAGUGAAAUGCGUAGAUAUGCGGAGGAACACCGAUGGCGAAGGCAACCCCCUGGGCCUGUACUGACGCUCAUGCACGAAAGCGUGGGGAGCAAACAGG
rnacentral:rRNA from 1 species